UCAGUAAGUCGGAUGUGAAAACUCGGGGCUCAACCCCGGAACUGCCCUUGAAACUCCCGGUCUUGAGGUCGAGAGAGGUGAGUGGAAUUCCGAGUGUAGAGGUGAAAUUCGUAGAUAUUCGGAGGAACACCAGUGGCGAAGGCGGCUCACUGGCUCGAUACUGACGCUGAGGUGCGAAAGCGUGGGGAGCAAACAGG
rnacentral:rRNA from 1 species